rnacentral:lncRNA from 1 species
UCGUCCCUUAAAGUUUAUACAAGCAAUAACUCUUGAAAGAGAGUGAUCAAACAAUUUCCAAUACAGUCUAUUUCAUAUGAGAAAUGGAAAUGAGGGAACUAUUCCCAAACGGGUCAAAAUAGGACCUAAGACUUUGAAUUGUAUGUUCAUUGGAUAUGCUACAAAUAGUAAAGCAUGUCGAUUUAUGGUUCAUAAGUCAGAACCGUCGGAUAGUCAAGUGAAGGGUCUAAAC